CCUUCAUUCAUUGUGCUCUCAAGUAUAUACAUUGCCUACUCUAAAUCUUCUUCUUUGUUAACCUUCUUCAUUUUUACUUCUAUUUCUUCCUCUGCUCCUCUGUUUCUAUUUUCUUCCUUUUGNUUCCUUUUGUUUUCAUUGCCUAACUACAACAGUGGUAUCAGCAGCUUUGCGCGUGCAAAUUCUGUGUGAAUCUUCCUAGGGGACCUGUGUGAGCUUCUACGUGAUCAGCAGAAGCAAGGUGUAGUAGUGAUGACAAACAAUGGAGGAUUCUCAUUGACACUUCCCAUCUUGGAUGGCAAGAAUU
rnacentral:lncRNA from 1 species